AACGUAGGAGGCAAGCGUUAUCCGGAGUUACUGGGCGUAAAGCGCGUGUAGGUGGAUUGGUAAGUUACUUAUAAAAGCUCCUGGCUAAACUAGGAGAGGUUGAGUGAUACUGCCAGUCUUGAAUAGAGGAGAGGUUGACGGAAUUCCGCGUGUAGUGGUGAAAUGCGUAGAUAUCAGGAGGAAUACCGAUGGCGAAGGCAGGUCUCUGGGCUGACACUGACGCUCAUGCACGAAAGCGUGGGGAGCAAACAGG
rnacentral:rRNA from 1 species